GAGAGUUUGAUCCUGGCUCAGGAUGAACGCUGGCGGCGUGCCUAAUACAUGCAAGUCGAGCGAACAGAUAAGGAGCUUGCUCCUUUGACGUUAGCGGCGGACGGGUGAGUAACACGUGGGUAACCUACCUAUAAGACUGGGAAUAACUCCGGGAAACCGGGGCUAAUGCCGGAUAAUAUUUAGAACCGCAUGGUUCUAAAGUGAAAGAUGGUUUUGCUAUCACUUAUAGAUGGACCCGCGCCGUAUUAGCUAGUUGGUGGGGUAAUGGCUUACCAAGGCAACGAUACGUAGCCGACCUGAGAGGGUGAUCGGCCACACUGGAACUGAGACACGGUCCAGACUCCUACGGGAGGCAGCAGUAGGGAAUCUUCCGCAAUGGGCGAAAGCCUGACGGAGCAACGCCGCGUGAGUGAUGAAGGUCUUCGGAUCGUAAAACUCUGUUAUUAGGGAAGAACAAAUGUGUAAGUAACAGUGCACGUCUUGACGGUACCUAAUCAGAAAGCCACGGCUAACUACGUG
rnacentral:rRNA from 1 species